AUUGAACGCUAGCGGGAUGCUUUACACAUGCAAGUCGAACGGCAGUGCGGACUUCGGUCUGGCGGCGAGUGGCGAACGGGUGAGUAAUGUAUCGGAACGUGCCCAGUAGCGGGGGAUAACUACGCGAAAGCGUAGCUAAUACCGCAUACGCCCUACGGGGGAAAGCAGGGGAUCGUAAGACCUUGCACUAUUGGAGCGGCCGAUAUCGGAUUAGCUAGUUGGUGAGGUAACGGCUCACCAAGGCGACGAUCCGUAGCUGGUUUGAGAGGACGACCAGCCACACUGGGACUGAGACACGGCCCAGACUCCUACGGGAGGCAGCAGUGGGGAAUUUUGGACAAUGGGGGCAACCCUGAUCCAGCCAUCCCGCGUGUGCGAUGAAGGCCUUCGGGUUGUAAAGCACUUUUGGCAGGAAAGAAACGUCGCGGGCUAAUACCCCGUGGAACUGACGGUACCUGCAGAAUAAGCACCGGCUAACUACGUG
rnacentral:rRNA from 1 species